rnacentral:rRNA from 1 species
CAAAUCCUACGGGGCGCAGCAGUGGGGGAUAUUGGACAAUGGGGGAAACCCUGAUCCAGCGAUGCCGCGUGAGGGAAGAAGGUUUUCGGAUCGUAAACCUCUGUGGAGGGGGACGAUAAUGACGGUACCCCUUUAGGAAGCCACGGCUAACUACGUGCCAGCAGCCGCGGUAAUACGUAGGUGGCGCGCGUUGUCCGGAAUUACUGGGUGUAAAGGGCGUGGAGGCGGGGA